UACCCCCACUGUGAUCACUUUAAUGA
rnacentral:piRNA from 1 species